GUCUAUGGCAAUGCCACCGUGAAUGUGCCUGAUCUCGGCUGUUCUCAGAAGCUAAGCAGGGUUGGGCCUGGUUAGUACUUGGAUGGGAGACCACCUAGGAAUACCAGGUGCUAUAGGCA
rnacentral:rRNA from 1 species